UGGGGAAUUUUGGACAAUGGGCGCAAGUCUGAUCCAGCAAUGCCGCGUGCAGGAUGGAGGCCUUCGGGUUGUAAACUGCUUUUGUACGGAACGAAACGGCUCUGGUUAAUACCUGGGGCUAAUGACGGUACCGUAAGAAUAAGCACCGGCUAACUACGUGCCAGCAGCCGCGGUAAUACGUAGGGUGCGAGCGUUAAUCGGAAUUACUGGGCGUAAAGCGUGCGCAGGCGGUGAUGUAAGACAGACGUGAAAUCCCCGGGCUCAACCUGGGACCUGCAUUUGUGACUGCAUCGCUGGAGUGCAGCAGAGGGGGAUGGAAUUCCGCGUGUAGCAGUGAAAUGCGUAGAUAUGCGGAGGAACACCGAUGGCGAAGGCAAUCCCCUGGGCCUGCACUGACGCUCAUGCACGAAAGCGUGGGGAGCAAACA
rnacentral:rRNA from 1 species